CAUAGAGAGAGAGAGAGAGAAAUGGCUUGUGUUCCUCUAACUUCUCUGAUGAAUACAAUCCAGUUUGAGUUCUUAAAACCCAGACCACCUGUGAUUCUUGAUGAAGAUACAGCACGUAUGAUGAAUUCUCUCUACCAGAAUGUUGGUUUCUUGCUCGCCUUUCUUGAGGAAUUCGAGAAGAAACCAGGAAAUGAUGAUGCUGCAAUCAAAGAUUUGGAAGCCAAAAUCAGGGACUUGGCUCAUUCAGCAGAAGACGGAAUCGAAUCAAAUCUGACAAACAUUUACAUGGAGGCGGGGGCAGCUAAAGAUAAAGAUAUGAUGCUCUGUCAGAACCUACGACAAGUAGCCAACGACACUCACCAGUUUGUUAACAGAAUUAAACGAGAAUACUAUGAUUCUACCGUCCAAGAUUCGCCAAAGGUACAUACCCUUUCGUCAGAUCUUGAGAGCAUUUCGUUGAGCGAAUCUUCACAGCUGUUCUCAAAGCCAAAGGUUGGGCAUAGCAGUUUUAAUUUGCUUACAACGAAUUGCACUGCAUGGAUGAAAUACAUUAUAUUCACGGUAAUAAUGUUACCAAAAAUUAUAUUUAAUUUGUGUGUAAGUAAAUUGAGCAUUUGGUUAGGCAAAUCUCCAAAGCCAAAGGUGGAGGGCAGAAUGGUUGGGCAUAGCAGUGAACUGAAUACAAUAAAGGAUCAGCUCACUCGUCACCCAUUUGGAGAACGAAAAGUCAUUUCAAUUCUUGGAAUGGGUGGUAUCGGCAAGACAACUUUAGCAAGGAGACUCUAUGAAGAUCCAUCAGUCAUAUCCCACUUUGAAGUUUGCGCAUGGACUACUGUGUCUCAAGAAGUUAAUCUCAGACGCAUACUCUGCGACCUUCUUCUUCAGUCCUUUAGCUUCUCCUCCACCCAAGUGAAUACUAAUGGAAGCACAGGUGAACUGGCCCAACAAUUGCAGAGGCGUUUGAAGUGUACGAGGUAUCUGGUCGUGGUGGAUGACGUAUGGGAAACCAGUGUUUGGGAUUAUCUCACCAGAUGUUUUCCUGAAAGUGGUGGUAGUAGAGUAUUGCUGACCACUCAGCUAAAAGAAAUUGCUGACUACACUACUACUUCAGGUACCUAUCUUCAUAACUUGCAUUUUCUAGAUUCUAACCAGAGUUGGGAUCUAUUCUGCAAUAACGUUUUCUGCAAACAACCCUUGCCUUCCGAAUUUGAGACAAUUGGAAGGAACAUUGUUGACAAGUGUAGAGGGUUACCCCUCGCGAUUGUUGUAGUUGCUGGACUUGUAUCCAAACUCAACAACACACUUGAUGAUUGGAAAAAUGUUGAGAGAGAAAUAAGUUGUCUUGCUAGUACAGAUCUUGGUGAACAGUGUUCAAGAAUACUGAAUUUAAGCUACAACCACUUACCUCAGCAUUUGAAAGCUUGCUUUUUGUAUUUAGGAGUUUUCUAUGAAAAUAGUGAAAUUCCUGUUAAAAAGCUUGUUAGGCUUUGGGUGGCAGAGGGGUUUGUGAAGUUAGUGAGUGAUAAGAGAUUGGAGGAAGUGGGUGUUGAGUAUUUACAAGACCUUGUUAGUAGAAGUUUAGUCCUAAUUCACAAGUGUAAACCUAACGGCCAAAUCAAGACAUGUAGGAUGCAUAAUCUCCUGCAUGGGCUUUGCAUAAGAGAAGCUAGAAAGCUAAACCUUUUGUACAUUAAAGACGAUGGUUAUGAUCAUGUUGGUGCUUGUCGUUGGCUAAGUUUUAGAUCACCAAAGCCCAAGAAUUAUGAUAUAAUUCGCAACAAUUACAAAAAAGCUCGUUCUGUUUUGUGCUUGUAUAAUGAUGAUGAGAUAGCAAUGGUGAAUGAUCCAAAGCCUGUAAGGUUCAGCUUGUUAAGAGUUCUUGAUUUAACUUCUCCUUUGUACACCAAGGGAGUUUAUGUGCCUUUCACAGAUCUUUCUGAUCUAGUUCUUCUAAAAUACCUUGCUUGGUUUGUGGGCUCGGAGGGUCUCGAGAUCAUACUGUCUAAGAAUCAGAAACUGCAGACGUUGCUUGUUUCGCAUAGUGCAGCUGAGUGGGAAGAGGACUCUUCCCUUUUGCCAUCCACAAUUUGGGGGUCACCACAAUUAAGGCAUCUCGAAUUCAAAAACUCUUUGAGGGUGGAGCCUCCAAGCAUGGUGAAAGAGAAGUUGCAAACUUUGUAUUGGUUGAGCAUAUCGCAUUGCACGGAAGAAGUGUUCUCUAUGAUUCCAAACAUAAACACAUUGGGGAUCCUUUGUAAGCGUGGAUCCAUAUCUCAUAGUAAUGGUACUUAUAGUUUGAAGUUUCUUCAGUGUUUGGAUCAGCUCGAGGAUUUAACCAUUGAAUCUGACUAUCCCAUUUUUGAGCAUUUGCCCCCUCGAUGUAUUGAUGUGUUUCCCCGCAAGCUUAGGAAGCUAAAACUAAGUGGAACUCAUUUACCACUUGAAGAUAUAGAAGCAAUUGCUUUGUUGCCUAGCCUCGAGGUGUUAAAACUUAAAACGGAUUCUCUUCUUGGACCUGAGUAGAAACCAACUUAUGGGGGAUUCCCGAGUUUAAAGUUUUUGCUGCUCCAACAUAAGAAACUCAAACAUUGGAAUGACUUUGAUGAUGAGUUUCCCAUACUUGAGCGUCUAGUCCUAAAGGAAUGUGCAAGAUUGGACCAGAUCCCAAUUACUUUCUCAAACAUUAAUUCUCUCCAAUCAAUUGAAUUAGAAAGGUGUCGCCCUGCCCUUUUGCUUUCUGCCAAGAAAAUCAAACAAGAACAGCUCAACUAUGGAAAUGAUGCUCUUCUUGUUAUUGACCGCACUCCUCAGUAUACUGCAACGCAUUAUACUGUUGUGCAAUCUGUGAAUUUUAGCAAGGAACACAUAUCCAGGCGGGGAUGGUUUUAUGAUGAUGACGAUUCCCACCUCCAAAAGAGCUCAAGAACAGAAUUUCGUUCUACAUGGGAGCUCUUCACUUGUAUGAUCGAGCAAAGGAAUAUUGAUGAACACAUAUGUACAUUGCCAUUUUGUGUGCUUCCAAGGACACUUCAUUCUUCAACUCCAUGAUUGUCAUGGGAAAGAAGAUGAAGUUGACUUUGAGUGUGUGCUAUGAAUUGUGAAAGUUUUGAACUAGUUUGCAUAUCUUGAGUGGUAUUGUGAGAAUAGGUGAAGUGAAAUGUUGCAUGUAUGUGAGAAAAUGAUGAUAAUGUUGAGUUCUUAUAAAAAAUGUGAAGUGUUAAAAAAUUAAGAGUGUGAGAUCUCUUGGAAAAAUAUACUGGAAUUUCCUUGUGUUAUGUUGCAAACCUUGUGUGUUGUAAGAAAUGAGGCCACGAAAAACAAUUUUGCUUCGGAAAUAGAAGAGAACCGACAAUGAAAGGGCACAAGGAGAAGGGCCUAGCAAUCUUGAACCGAAGGAAGAAGUUGCAAGGGCUAGAACAAGGUAUAGAGAGAUCAUCAUGAACACCCGAAUGAAGGAUAGGUAUCAAUACCUCUCACAUAAGCCCAUAACCCGGUGGAAUUACAUUAACUUAGCCUCACUAGACACAUUCGAAUGCCGAAGGGGGGUAGAACGCCUAAUUCAUCAACCAUAUUGGGAGGUCAUUUUCAGAUGGUAGUAUCCUACCUACACCCUGGUAGUCCACGAAUUGGUUGCUAGUUUAGAAUUUAUGGGAAGAAUUGGGGAUUUGUAAGCCCAACUAUGAAGUUUCGCCUCUUCAACAAUGUGUUGUGGGCACGGGAAUCAAUAAUUGGCUAUUGGAAUAUUUUAGAAU